rnacentral:rRNA from 1 species
AAGAAAGUAAAUAAGGGCACACGGGGGAUGCCUAGGCUCUCAGAGGCGAUGAAGGACGUGAUAAGCUGCGAUAAGCUACGGUGAUCGGCAAAUUCGAAUUGAUCCGUAGAUUUCCGAAUGGGGCAACCUAAUAUACUGAAGGUAUAUUGUAUAAUACGCGAACGCGCUGAACUGAAACAUCUAAGUAGGCGUAGGAGGAGAAAAUAAUAAUGAUUUCGUAAGUAGUGGCGAGCGAACACGAAAGAGCCCAAACCAAUCCUGUUACGGCAUGAUUGGGGUUGUAGGACCACGACAUUGUAUUGUCUGGAUGAACUGGAAGCAGGUGGGAAACUGCGCGAUAUGGGUGAUAGCCCCGUACAGGUAAAGAGAGACAGCAUAGUGGUAUCCUGAGUAGGGCGGGACCGGAGAAAUCCUGCUUGAAUCUGCCAGCACCAUCUGGUAAGGCUAAAUACUCCUGAGAGACCGAUAGUGAACUAGUACCGUGAGGGAAAGGUGAAAAGAACCCCGAACAGGGGAGUGAAAAGAACCUGAAACCGUGUGCUUACAAGCGGUCGGAGCGGACAAGUUCUGUGACGGCGUGCCUUUUGCAUAAUGAGCCUACGAGUUACUCUUGUCCGGCAAGGUUAAAUGAUUCAGUCAUGUAGCCGCAGCGAAAGCGAGUCUUAAUAGGGCGCACAGUCGGAUGAGGUAGACGCGAAACCUUGUGAUCUACCCUUGGGCAGGUUGAAGUUGCGGUAACACGUAAUGGAGGACCGAACCGUCAAACGUUGAAAAGUUUUCGGAUGACCUGAGGGUAGGGGUGAAAGGCCAAUCAAACUGGGAAAUAGCUCGUACUCCCCGAAAUGUUUUUAGGAACAGCGUGGAUUUUAGUCUAUUAGAGGUAGAGCUACCGAUUGGGUGCGGGGGAGUCAAAUCCUACCAAAUCCAGACGAACUCCGAAUGCUAUAUAGAUAUGAUCUGCAGUGAGGCUUUGGGUGCUAAGGUCCAAGGCCGAGAGGGAAAGAACCCAGACCAUCAGCUAAGGUCCCUAAAUAUACGCUAAGUUGAACUAACGAGGUCCGGUUGCCCAGACAGCUAGGAUGUUGGCUUGGAAGCAGCCAUUCAUUUAAAGAGUGCGUAACAGCUCACUAGUCGAGCGGCCGGGCGUGGAUAAUAAACGGGCAUCAAGUGUAUUACCGACGCUAUGGAUUCAUACAUUAAUUUGUAUGUCUGGUAGGGGAGCAUUCUAUUGGGGGUGAAUCCACAUGGUGAUGUGUGGUGGACUUAAUAGAAAAGCAAAUGUAGGCAUAAGUAACGAUAAGGCGGGUGAGAAACCCGCCCACCGAAAGACUAAGGUUUCCUGAUCAACGCUAAUCGGAUCAGGGUUAGUCGGGGCCUAAGGCGCAUCCGAACGGAGAAAGCCGAUGGACAACGGGUUAAUAUUCCCGUACUUUUAUUAACUGCGAUGUGGUGACGGAGUAGUGACACUGCCGCGAACUGACGGAAUAGUUCGUUGAAAGAUGUAGGUAUUGUUCGGGUAGGCAAAUCCGCCCUUACAGCUGAACUCUGAUAGUACAGCAAAGCUUCGGCAGCGCUGAUAGUGCAGGUAAUCAGACUUCCAAGAAAACCCGCUAAGCUUCAGGUUAAUAAAACCCGUACCGUAAACCGACACAGGUAGUCGAGGAGAGAAUCCUAAGGUGCUCGAGUGAUUCAUGGCUAAGGAACUCGGCAAAAUGGCCCUGUAACUUCGGGAGAAGGGGCGCUGUCUCUAGCGAUAGAGCAGCCGCAGUGAAAAGGCCCAGGCGACUGUUUAGCAAAAACAUAUGGCUUUGCGAAAUCGAAAGAUGAAGUAUAAGGCCUGACACCUGCCCGGUGCUGGAAGGUUAAGAGGGGAUGUCAUCGCAAGAGAAGCAUUGAAUCGAAGCCCCAGUAAACGGCGGCCGUAACUAUAACGGUCCUAAGGUAGCGAAAUUCCUUGUCGGGUAAGUUCCGACCUGCACGAAUGGUGUAACGAUCUGGGCGCUGUCUCAGCCAUGAGCUCGGUGAAAUUGUGGUCUCGGUGAAGACGCCGGGUACCCGCAACGGGACGGAAAGACCCCAUGCACCUUCACUAUAGCUUAACAUUGUGAUUGGGUACAGGAUGUGUAGGAUAGGCGGGAGAUAUUGAAGUGGCUUCGCCAGGAGUCAUGGAAUC